AUUCAGCAUUUUGUACUGUCUGUGUGUGUGUGUGUGUGUGUGAGAGAGAGAGAGAGAGAGAGAAGGAAGGAAAGCAAGGGUGUGUGUGUAUCUCUGUAGAUGACACUGUAUUGAAUAGUGGAUUCUGCUGCCAUCUUGCUCGGUCUUUGUAACUAAAUUAAUAUGUGCGUGUGACGUUAUGAAUUGAUACUGCUGAAGGCUGUGCGAGGGCAUCGAUGUUCCUCUCCAGGAAUUUGAGUGCGUGCGCAUGCGUAUGUAAAUAUAAACAUAAACAUAAGUAGACACAUAGUUCCGUUUCCGUUGUGGCAUCCAGUUGAAAAUUGUUUGUGUGUAAUUUAAUGAUCUGAAACUUUGUUGUUUAUUAAGAUACUGAGUGUCUUGUGUUAAAUCUUGGCAAGGAAACAACAUUAUUGAAAGUCUGCUUAGCAGGUUCUGACACCCGUCUUGUACCUUUAAGUGUUGUGUCGUAUUCCAGAAAUACCGUAUUUGUUCAUCUCACUAUUUAGUGUCUGCAUCUGUCAUCAUGGUGACUGGGAAGGAGAAGGAGCACGGAUGACACGGCAGGAUGUCAUUGGACCGCCUGAUCUGCCAUUCGGUUGGUCCGAUUUGAACAAGUGCUACUGCUCUUGGAUCUUAGCAAUGCUGCAAGAGACUGCUUGCCUGCCGUCUUCCUCUCUGCCUGAAAAUAUAAUUUUCGAACAUCUGGAAUGAAAUACAAGCAAUGUGAAGCUUUCCGAAACAUAUCACAAAGGAAACAUAUUUAAGUGUUGUAUAAACAAACAUUUUUAACUUUGUAAAAUCUUCAUUACUGCCUGUGUAUCCUGGGUGACAUUGUGUUCAUAUUUCAUUUGUGGAAAUUUCUUCCUGACAGUCAGUGCAUACAGACCAACUACAGAUUACGGAGCCAAACGGUUCAACGCAGGAAGCAUUAAAUUUCUGAUGAAGAGUAAAGAAGUCUAAUAGUACAUGGAAUUGCAACGAACCUGUGUUUUCAAACUAAUAAACUGUUUGGAAUAGAAACUUACAUUGAUGUGAUUUCUCAGACAACAAUAUACCAGGGAUUUUAUGCUCGUUUCGAAUUUCCAAAUUACGUCAUUAUUCACUGGAAUACACAUAUUUCAUUAAGUUAAACUGAUCUUUUAUUUUAUAAUGAUCAAGCAGACGGUCAAGGAUAACGCAGCUGUUUUGUUAAAGGUCGUAUCGAUUGUGAGAAAGCGUUGAGAUAAGCAUGCGUUGUAGAAAUGCUACAAAUAUUGCUCACAAAUGCGGUUAAGAGACCUCCACCACUUUGAAAACACACUUGGGAAUCUGUGAAGUAGUUGAAUAUCUGUUACUGAUUGCCCUAAAAUAGUGGAUAAGCUUAUAUUGAUUUUGUGUGAAGUCUUAAAAGAGGAAAACCCCGUGAAAGUACAGCCUUAAAACAUAUAGAAGGAACAGACUACAUCAAAAAAGAGUUUGGUUGUGAAAAUUUCAAUCUUCCUUCAAGAACUGCUGAACUUUCAGUUAUAUUCAUAUUUGUGUUCGUGUGUGUGAAGUGAAAAGGAAGUAAGCCUUUUAUAAGAAGGGUGUAAAAUGGUAACUGGUGGAGGGUGAGGUGUUGUUGAUCGAAAAAGACGCCGCCGGUGUUUGAGGCGCCAAUCCUACGGGUUUUAUCUUCCUGAUGCUUGCUGUCCGCCUCCAACAAAGUAAAAGUAGUUGAACGGUCGUUGCUAUGGCUACGUUCACGGGUGCUGGACCUUCUAGACAGCGUUCUCUUAAGGACCGACUCAGAGAAGGAAUAACGGGUAGUUUCUCCUGGCAUUUCGGUUAAAAUCGGACAACAAUAAUGGGAACUUUGCUUGAAAAACUGCAUGCCCUUUCGCUCGCAGAAGUGAUUUGGUGUGGAAUCCGUAAUCGGGAAAUCUGCAGCUGCACAACCA